UACGUAGGGGGCAAGCGUUGUCCGGAAUCAUUGGGCGUAAAGAGCGCGUAGGCGGUCCGGUAAGUCGGUUGUGAAAACUGGGGGCUCAACCCUCAGAGGCCGACCGAUACUGCCGGGCUAGAGUCCGGAAGAGGCGAGUGGAAUUCCUGGUGUAGCGGUGAAAUGCGUAGAGAUCGGGAGGAACACCAGAGGCGAAGGCGGCUCGCUGGACAGUUACUGACACUCAACUACGAAAGCGUGGGGAGCAAACAGG
rnacentral:rRNA from 1 species